CCAGAUAGGACACCUGGAUCAAAUGACUACUAGACCCUUUGGAUGAGUUUCUGUGUACUCAUCUCAUUGCUGGUAUCUAGGCAUCGACCUAGUGCACUUUGCCCCGUGUUUGCGCCAUAUGGCCGCUUUUGAAAGGCCUCCCACUGUAGCUGUAAAUAUACACGGAACGACGGAGGAUCAUUCGGCAGACGUGUACAUCCUUGUGCUUUGAGCUGCUUGACUGCCACGUCCUGGUUCACAGGCUGCAGGUUAGGAUGUUCUGUCCAGGAAAUAUGAAGAGGAACGUGUUGUUGUUCAUCGAUGACCUCUUGGCAGGGUUUCCAGUCGUGCUCUCCCGUGAACGCCGUUGGACCCACUGGGACUGAUGGUAUUUCGCCAGAACCAGAUCUCGAGCUGAGAACAACGGCUCAGAUGGCUCCCAGCCCCCGAGUGCCGAUGAUGCUCAAAGUGCUCAGAGAGCGAGCUGGGGUCAAGCGUCAUAUUCAGAAGUGUAAGAACAGGGGUACGGACAAUCGGGUUCACGGCAGCAUUCGUUCUGCCCUGUCUGGGAUUUAAACCACAGACGGCAGCGUCUUCUUAUUACCUCAUAAAUCUACAUGCUAAGGUUUUUUUUGUAGUUGUUGUUUAAGGAAAUGCAUACAAAGGCGCACAAAAAAAAAAAAAAAAAAAAAAAAAAACAGUACACAAAUCUAGCAUAACCUUCGGUCCCGCUGCUAUAGGAAACGAAUCAAUGCGGAGUUACUCCUACCAUGCUGAAAUGGCUUCAUUUCCUGUUAAAAUCAUGUGUGUUUUAUUCCUCUUAUACAGUACCGUGCCAGUUUGCCAACGAUUACAAAUUUUCACUUAUUAAAGAACGAG
ensembl:lncRNA